rfam:Solanum tuberosum cultivar DM 1-3 516 R44 scf00329_30, whole genome shotgun sequence.
UGAGAGGCCUUAAUCAAGGCCACAAACAGAAAGAGCUCAAACUCUU